AUUGAACGCUGGCGGCAUGCUUUACACAUGCAAGUCGAACGGUAACAGGCCGCAAGGUGCUGACGAGUGGCGAACGGGUGAGUAAUGCAUCGGAACGUGCCCAGUCGUGGGGGAUAACGCAGCGAAAGCUGCGCUAAUACCGCAUACGAUCUAUGGAUGAAAGCGGGGGACCGUAAGGCCUCGCGCGAUUGGAGCGGCCGAUGUCAGAUUAGGUAGUUGGUGGGGUAAAGGCUCACCAAGCCGACGAUCUGUAGCUGGUCUGAGAGGACGACCAGCCACACUGGGACUGAGACACGGCCCAGACUCCUAUGGGAGGCAGCAGUGGGGAAUUUUGGACAAUGGGCGCAAGCCUGAUCCAGCGAUGCCGCGUGCAGGAAGAAGGCCUUCGGGUUGUAAACUGCUUUUGUACGGAACGAAACGGCUCUGGUUAAUACCUGGGGCUAAUGACGGUACCGUAAGAAUAAGCACCGGCUAACUACGUGCCAGCAGCCGCCGUAAGAC
rnacentral:rRNA from 1 species